AGCGAACGCUGGCGGCAGGCCUAACACAUGCAAGUCGAACGAACUCUUCGGAGUUAGUGGCGGACGGGUGAGUAACACGUGGGAACGUGCCUUUUGGUUCGGAAUAACUCAGGGAAACUUGUGCUAAUACCGAAUGUGCCCUUCGGUGGAAAGAUUUAUCGCCAUUAGAGCGGCCCGCGUCUGAUUAGCUAGUUGGUGAGGUAACGGCUCACCAAGGCGACGAUCAGUAGCUGGUCUGAGAGGAUGACCAGCCACACUGGGACUGAGACACGGCCCAGACUCCUACGGGAGGCAGCAGUGGGGAAUCUUGCGCAAUGGGCGAAAGCCUGACGCAGCCAUGCCGCGUGAAUGAUGAAGGUCUUAGGAUUGUAAAAUUCUUUCACCGGGGACGAUAAUGACGGUACCCGGAGAAGAAGCCCCGGCUAACUUCGUG
rnacentral:rRNA from 1 species